GGGCGAUUAGCUCAGUUGGCUAGAGCGCUGCUUUUACACGGCAGAAGUCACUGGUUCGAGUCCAGUAUCGCCCA
rnacentral:tRNA from 1 species